AUGGACAAGUUAAAGGUAGGCAUGAAAAAUGAGUACACAAGGGUAUUUGAUCACCAGCUGGAGUUACUUAGAAGUAAUCCUGGCAGCACAGUUGCAGUGUGUUUGGAUCCUACCAACAAAGUGCAAAAUGUUUUUCAAAGCUUUUAUGUGUGCUUCAAUGCUUUGAAAUUGGGAUUCAAGGCUGGCUGCAGGAAAGUAAUAGGUUUAGAUGGUUGUUUUUUCAAAGGAGCGGUGAAGGGAGAGCUGUCGUGUGCCAUUGCGAGAGAUGCCAAUAACCAAAUGUAUCCAGUGGCUUGGGCAGUUGUUGAGCAGGAAACAAAAGAGAGCUGGAAGUGGUUUGUUGCCUUGCUUAUCAAGGAUCUAGACAUUAACAAUAAUGGAGCUAGCUGGGUCUUCAUUUCUGAUCAGCAAAAGGGUUUGAUUAAUGCCAUGAGGGAUUAUCUGCCAAAUGCAGAGCACAGGCAGUGUGCUAGACAUAUCUAUGCCAAUAGGAAGAAGCAUAGGGCACAUGAAUGGUAGAAAAAAUUCUGGGCAGUGGCCAAAGCAUCUAACAGACAAGAUUUCAACUACUACAAAGCAAAGCUAGCACAAGAAACACGAGAGGGUGCAAAGGAUAUCAUGAACACAGAGCCAGGACACUGGGCAAGAGCAUUUUUUGCAGUUGGUUCUUUCUGUGAGUCAGUUGACAACAACUUGUGUGAAUCUUUCAAUCAUGCCAUCAUUGAAGCAAGGUUCUAUCCCUUAAUCUCAAUGCAAGAGAAGAUCAGAAAGAAAAUUUUAGCUAGAAUUCAGGAACAAAGGGAGAAAGGAGCAAGGUUUCAUGGGAAAAUAUGUCCAAGCAUAUUUAAGAAGUUGAAGAGCAGCAUAGCAAGGACACAGUCCAUGGAGGUGCUCUGGAAUGGCAAAGAUGGCUUUGAAGUGAAAUUAUUAACUGGAAGAAAAAGGCAGUACACAGUCAGCCUUGACAAUAGGACUUGCUCAUGUGGUUAUUUUCAGUUAUAUGGUCUCCCAUGCUCUCAUGCAAUCACUGCUAUCUACAAGUGUGGAAAGAAAGUGGAAGAUUAUAUUGCUCCUUGUUACUUUGUUGAUACCUUCAACAAAAUAUAUGAGCAUUGUUAG
rnacentral:rRNA from 1 species